GCCGCCGAUCCGGUAACGCGCACUCUCCUUGAUCAAGGUUGUGAUGGCCGGGUUUGUCCCGGCCAUUUUCUUUGAGCGGCCUGCUCAGUAACCCUUCAUCCGCGCCAGUUGCUCGGCGUGAUAGGCACUGUCGCCGAAAAGCUCCUGACAUACACGCGCACGCUUCAUGAAGAAGCCGAUGUCGAAGGCGUCCGUCAUGCCGACGCCGCCAUGCAUCUGCACGGCCUCCUGAACGGCCAGGGUCGCGGUCGUCCCGGCUUUCGCCUUGGCGACGGCCACCGCAGCACCCGCCGCGUC
rnacentral:misc_RNA from 1 species